rnacentral:rRNA from 1 species
UACGGGGGGGGCAAGCGUUGUUCGGAAUUACUGGGCGUAAAGGCUCGUAGGCGGCCAACUAAGUCAUACGUGAAAUCCCUCGGCUUAACCGGGGAACUGCGUCUGAUACUGGAUGGCUUGAGUUCGGGAGAGGGAUGCGGAAUUCCAGGUGUAGCGGUGAAAUGCGUAGAUAUCUGGAGGAACACCGGUGGCGAAGGCGGCAUCCUGGACCGAUACUGACGCUGAGGAGCGAAAGCCAGGGGAGCAAACGGG